AAAAAAGGUAAGCUACUAAGAGCGAAUGGUGGAUGCCUUGACUGGUAAAGGCGAUGAAGGACGUACUAGACUGCGAUAAGCUACGGGGAGCUGUCAAGAAGCUUUGAUCCGUAGAUUUCCGAAUGGGGCAACCCAAUGUAUAGAGAUAUACAUUACCUAUAUAGGAGCGAACGAGGGGAAUUGAAACAUCUUAGUACCCUCAGGAAAAGAAAUCAAUAGAGAUUGCGUCAGUAGCGGCGAGCGAAAGCGCAAGAGGGCAAACCCAGUGCUUGCACUGGGGGUUGUAGGACUGCAAUGUGCAAGAGGUAAGUUUAGCAGAACAUUCUGGAAAGUAUAACCAUAGAGGGUGAUAGUCCCGUAUGCGAAAAACAAACCUUAGCUAGCAGUAUCCUGAGUAGGGCGGGACACGAGGAAUCCUGUCUGAAUCCGGGUCGACCACGAUCCAACCCUAAAUACUAAUACCAGAUCGAUAGUGCACAAGUACCGUGAGGGAAAGGUGAAAAGAACUGAGGUGAUCAGAGUGAAAUAGAACCUGAAACCAUUUGCUUACAAUCAUUCAGAGCCCUAUGUAGCAAUACAGGGUGAUGGACUGCCUUUUGCAUAAUGAGCCUGCGAGUUGUGGUGUCUGGCAAGGUUAAGCAAACGCGAAGCCGUAGCGAAAGCGAGUCUGAAUAGGGCGCUUAGUCAGAUGCUGCAGACCCGAAACGAAGUGAUCUAUCCAUGAGCAAGUUGAAGCUAGUGUAAGAACUAGUGGAGGACUGAACCCAUAGGCGUUGAAAAGCCCCGGGAUGACUUGUGGAUAGGGGUGAAAGGCCAAUCAAACUUCGUGAUAGCUGGUUCUCUCCGAAAUAUAUUUAGGUAUAGCGUUGUGUCGUAAUAUAAGGGGGUAGAGCACUGAAUGGGCUAGGGCAUACACCAAUGUACCAAACCCUAUCAAACUCCGAAUACCUUAUAUGUAAUCACAGCAGUCAGGCGGCGAGUGAUAAAAUCCGUCGUCAAGAGGGAAACAACCCAGACUACCAGCUAAGGUCCCUAAAUCUUACUUAAGUGGAAAACGAUGUGAAGUUACUUAAACAACCAGGAGGUUGGCUUAGAAGCAGCCAUCCUUUAAAGAAAGCGUAAUAGCUCACUGGUCUAGUGAUUUUGCGCGGAAAAUAUAACGGGGCUAAAGUAAGUACCGAAGCUGUAGACUUAGUUUACUAAGUGGUAGGAGAGCGUUCUAUUUGCGUCGAAGGUAUACCGGUAAGGAGUGCUGGAGCGAAUAGAAGUGAGCAUGCAGGCAUGAGUAGCGAUAAUUAAUGUGAGAAUCAUUAACGCCGUAAACCCAAGGUUUCCUACGCGAUGCUCGUCAUCGUAGGGUUAGUCGGGUCCUAAGUCGAGUCCGAAAGGGGUAGACGAUGGCAAAUUGGUUAAUAUUCCAAUACCAACAUUAGUGUGCGAUGGAAGGACGCUUAGGGCUAAGGGGGCUAGCGGAUGGAAGUGCUAGUCUAAGGUCGUAGGAGGUUAACAGGCAAAUCCGUAUAACAAUACUCCGAGAACUGAAAGGCUUUUUGAAGUCUUCGGAUGGAUAGAAGAACCCCUGAUGCCGUCGAGCCAAGAAAAGUUUCUAAGUUUAGCUAAUGUUGCCCGUACCGUAAACCGACACAGGUGGGUGGGAUGAGUAUUCUAAGGCGCGUGGAAGAACUCUCUUUAAGGAACUCUGCAAAAUAGCACCGUAUCUUCGGUAUAAGGUGUGGUUAGCUUUGUAUUAGGAUUUACUCCGAAAGCAAGGAAACUUACAACAAAGAGUCCCUCCCGACUGUUUACCAAAAACACAGCACUCUGCUAACUCGUAAGAGGAUGUAUAGGGUGUGACGCCUGCCCGGUGCUCGAAGGUUAAUUGAUGGGGUUAGCAUUAGCGAAGCUCUUGAUCGAAGCCCGAGUAAACGGCGGCCGUAACUAUAACGGUCCUAAGGUAGCGAAAUUCCUUGUCGGUUAAAUACCGACCUGCAUGAAUGGCGUAACGAGAUGGGAGCUGUCUCAAAGAGGGAUCCAGUGAAAUUGUAGUGGAGGUGAAAAUUCCUCCUACCCGCGGCAAGACGGAAAGACCCCGUGGACCUUUACUACAGCUUGACACUGCUACUUGGAUAAGAAUGUGCAGGAUAGGUGGGAGGCUUUGAGUAUAUGACGCCAGUUGUAUAUGAGCCAUUGUUGAGAUACCACUCUUUCUUAUUUGGGUAGCUAACCAGCUUGAGUUAUCCUCAAGUGGGACAAUGUCUGGUGGGUAGUUUGACUGGGGCGGUCGCCUCCCAAAUAAUAACGGAGGCUUACAAAGGUUGGCUCAGAACGGUUGGAAAUCGUUCGUAGAGUAUAAAGGUAUAAGCCAGCUUAACUGCAAGACAUACAAGUCAAGCAGAGACGAAAGUCGGUCUUAGUGAUCCGGUGGUUCUGUGUGGAAGGGCCAUCGCUCAAAGGAUAAAAGGUACCCCGGGGAUAACAGGCUGAUCUCCCCCAAGAGCUCACAUCGACGGGGAGGUUUGGCACCUCGAUGUCGGCUCAUCGCAUCCUGGGGCUGGAGCAGGUCCCAAGGGUAUGGCUGUUCGCCAUUUAAAGCGGUACGCGAGCUGGGUUCAGAACGUCGUGAGACAGUUCGGUCCCUAUCUGCCGUGGGCGUAAGAAGAUUGAAGAGAUUUGACCCUAGUACGAGAGGACCGGGUUGAACAAACCACUGGUGUAGCUGUUGUUCUGCCAAGAGCAUCGCAGCGUAGCUAAGUUUGGAAAGGAUAAACGCUGAAAGCAUCUAAGCGUGAAGCCAACUCUAAGAUGAAUCUUCUCUAAGCUCUCUAGAAGACUACUAGUUUGAUAGGCUGGGUGUGUAAUGGAUGAAAGUCCUUUAGCUGACCAGUACUAAUAGAGCGUUUGGCUUAUCUUUAAUAAAGCAU
rnacentral:rRNA from 1 species